rnacentral:rRNA from 1 species
UGGGGAAUAUUGGACAAUGGGCGCAAGCCUGAUCCAGCCAUGCCGCGUGAGUGAUGAAGGCCCUAGGGUUGUAAAGCUCUUUCACCGGUGAAGAUAAUGACGGUAACCGGAGAAGAAGCCCCGGCUAACUUCGUGCCAGCAGCCGCGGUAAUACGAAGGGGGCUAGCGUUGUUCGGAUUUACUGGGCGUAAAGCGCACGUAGGCGGACUUUUAAGUCAGGGGUGAAAUCCCGGGGCUCAACCCCGGAACUGCCUCUGAUACUGGAAGUCUUGAGUAUGGUAGAGGUGAGUGGAAUUCCGAGUGUAGAGGUGAAAUUCGUAGAUAUUCGGAGGAACACCAGUGGCGAAGGCGGCUCACUGGACCAUUACUGACGCUGAGGUGCGAAAGCGUGGGGAGCAAACAGG